CGGGAAGUAGCUCAGCUUGGUAGAGCACUUGGUUUGGGACCAAGGGGUCGUAGGUUCAAAUCCUGUCUUCCCGACCA
rnacentral:tRNA from 2 species